rnacentral:rRNA from 1 species
CCUACGGGAGGCAGCAGUGGGGAAUAUUGGACAAUGGGGGGAACCCUGAUCCAGCCAUGCCGCGUGUGUGAAGAAGGCCCUCGGGUUGUAAAGCACUUUCAGUGAGGAAGAACGCCUGGUGGUUAAUACCCAUCAGGAAAGACAUCACUCACAGAAGAAGCACCGGCUAACUCCGUGCCAGCAGCCGCGGUAAUACGGAGGGUGCGAGCGUUAAUCGGAAUUACUGGGCGUAAAGUGCGCGUAGGUGGCUUGAUAAGCCGGUUGUGAAAGCCCCGGGCUCAACCUGGGAACGGCAUCCGGAACUGUCAAGCUAGAGUGCAGGAGAGGAAGGUAGAAUUCCCGGUGUAGCGGUGAAAUGCGUAGAGAUCGGGAGGAAUACCAGUGGCGAAGGCGGCCUUCUGGACUGACACUGACACUGAGGUGCGAAAGCGUGGGUAGCAAACAGGAUUAGAUACCCCAGUAGUC